GAUGAACGCUAGCGGCAGGCCUAACACAUGCAAGUCAGGGGUAACAUGAAAAGCUUGCUUUUCUGAUGACGACCGGCGCACGGGUGCGUAACGCGUAUACAACCUACCUUUUAGCGGGGAAUAGCCCAGGGAAACUUGGAUUAAUGCCUCAUAGUAUAUAAGCUUCUCCUGAAGUUUAUAUUAAACAUUUAUGGCUAUUAGAUGGGUAUGCGUCCUAUUAGUUAGUUGGUAAGGUAACGGCUUACCAAGGCAGCGAUAGGUAGGGGUCCUGAGAGGGAGAUCCCCACACUGGUACUGAGACACGGACCAGACUCCUACGGGAGGCAGCAGUGAGGAAUAUUGGACAAUGGGCGAGAGCCUGAUCCAGCCAUGCCGCGUGCAGGAAGACUGCCCUAUGGGUUGUAAACUGCUUUUACAGAGGAAGAACCACCCCCACGUGUGGGGGUUUGACGGUACUCUGCGAAUAAGGAUCGGCUAACUCCGUG
rnacentral:rRNA from 1 species